GUUGGUGUAAAUAACGUUGAGGUCCCACCUGUUCCCAUUCCGAACACAGAAGUUAAGCUCAACAGUGCCGAAAAUACUUGGCGGGAAGCUGCCCGGAAAAAUAGGUCUAUGCCAACU
rnacentral:rRNA from 1 species